GCCUGUGAAGGUGUGCUGUGAGGCAUGCUGGAGGUAUCAGAAGUGCGAAUGCUGACAUAAGUAACGAUAAAGCGGGUGAAAAGCCCGCUCGCCGGAAGACCAAGGGUUCCUGUCCAACGUUAAUCGGGGCAGGGUGAGUCGACCCCUAAGGCGAGGCCGAAAGGCGUAGUCGAUGGGAAACAGGUUAAUAUUCCUGUACUUGGUGUUACUGCGAAGGGGGGACGGAGAAGGCUAUGUUGGCCGGGCGACGGUUGUCCCGGUUUAAGCGUGUAGGCUGGUUUUCCAGGCAAAUCCGGAAAAUCAAGGCUGAGGCGUGAUGACGAGGCACUACGGUGCUGAAGCAACAAAUGCCCUGCUUCCAGGAAAAGCCUCUAAGCAUCAGGUAACAUCAAAUCGUACCCCAAACCGACACAGGUGGUCAGGUAGAGAAUACCAAGGCGCUUGAGAGAACUCGGGUGAAGGAACUAGGCAAAAUGGUGCCGUAACUUCGGGAGAAGGCACGCUGAUAUGUAGGUGAAGUCCCUCGCGGAUGGAGCUGAAAUCAGUCGAAGAUACCAGCUGGCUGCAACUGUUUAUUAAAAACACAGCACUGUGCAAACACGAAAGUGGACGUAUACGGUGUGACGCCUGCCCGGUGCCGGAAGGUUAAUUGAUGGGGUCAGCGCAAGCGAAGCUCUUGAUCGAAGCCCCGGUAAACGGCGGCCGUAACUAUAACGGUCCUAAGGUAGCGAAAUUCCUUGUCGGGUAAGUUCCGACCUGCACGAAUGGCGUAAUGAUGGCCAGGCUGUCUCCACCCGAGACUCAGUGAAAUUGAACUCGCUGUGAAGAUGCAGUGUACCCGCGGCAAGACGGAAAGACCCCGUGAACCUUUACUAUAGCUUGACACUGAACAUUGAGCCUUGAUGUGUAGGAUAGGUGGGAGGCUUAGAAGUGUGGACGCCAGUCUGCAUGGAGCCGACCUUGAAAUACCACCCUUUAAUGUUUGAUGUUCUAACGUUGACCCGUAAUCCGGGUUGCGGACAGUGUCUGGUGGGUAGUUUGACUGGGGCGGUCUCCUCCUAAAGAGUAACGGAGGAGCACGAAGGUUGGCUAAUCCUGGUCGGACAUCAGGAGGUUAGUGCAAUGGCAUAAGCCAGCUUGACUGCGAGCGUGACGGCGCGAGCAGGUGCGAAAGCAGGUCAUAGUGAUCCGGUGGUUCUGAAUGGAAGGGCCAUCGCUCAACGGAUAAAAGGUACUCCGGGGAUAACAGGCUGAUACCGCCCAAGAGUUCAUAUCGACGGCGGUGUUUGGCACCUCGAUGUCGGCUCAUCACAUCCUGGGGCUGAAGUAGGUCCCAAGGGUAUGGCUGUUCGCCAUUUAAAGUGGUACGCGAGCUGGGUUUAGAACGUCGUGAGACAGUUCGGUCCCUAUCUGCCGUGGGCGCUGGAGAACUGAGGGGGGCUGCUCCUAGUACGAGAGGACCGGAGUGGACGCAUCACUGGUGUUCGGGUUGUCAUGCCAAUGGCACUGCCCGGUAGCUAAAUGCGGAAGAGAUAAGUGCUGAAAGCAUCUAAGCACGAAACUUGCC
rnacentral:rRNA from 1 species